UACGUAGGUGACAAGCGUUGUCCGGAUUUACUGGGCGUAAAGAGCGCGCAGGCGGUCGUUCAAGUCGAGUGUGAAAGCCCCCGGCUCAACUGGGGAGGGUCAUUCGAUACUGAUCGACUCGAAGGCAGGAGAGGGUAGUGGAAUUCCCGGUGUAGUGGUGAAAUGCGUAGAUAUCGGGAAGAACACCAGUGGCGAAGGCGACUACCUGGCCUGUUCUUGACGCUGAGGCGCGAAAGCUAGGGGAGCAAACGGG
rnacentral:rRNA from 1 species